UCAUGGUGGAGGGAGUGGUGUGACUGAAAAAAUAAUUUCACAUUUUACGUUAUUUAUUAUUUAUUUGUAAUUUGAAACUGCAUUACAUGCGAUUGAAUUUGAAACUACAGCUCAACAAAAUAGGAAUACAUCUUAAAUUAUGGAGGAAAAGAAAGCAGCCCAGAAAAAUUACAAAAUUUAUAAUUUGCAACAAAAACCAAAGAAAAGGAAGGUGGGAUUGGAAGCAAUUUAUCCAGACAGGAUAAAUUAGAAGAAUACAUAAUUUAGAUCAAGAAAAAGGAAGAAGGGACUUUUAAGCAAGUUAUCCAGACAGGAUAAAUUACAAGAAAACAUAAUUUAGAUCAAGAAAAAGGAAGGUGGGACUGUUAAGCAAUUUAUCCAGACAGGAUAAAUUACAAGGAUACAUAAUUUAGAUCAAGAAAAAGGAAGGUGGGACUGUUAAGCAACUUAUCCAGACAGGAUAAAUUACAAGAAUACAUAAUUUAGAUUAAGAAAAAGGAAAAACGGACUUUUAAGCAAGUUAUCCAGACAGGAUAAAUUACAAGAAAACAUAAUUUAGAUCAAGAAGAAAGAAAAAGGGACUUUUAAGCAAGUUUUCUGGUCAGGAUGUAUUACAAGCAAACACAAUUUAGUUCAAAGUAAGAUAUUAUUGAGUAUGCUGCAAAGAAUCGUGUCACUUCAUCCCCAACUGAUGCUGGACCUUCCAAGAACCAACUUGUAGGCACAGAAAACAUAAUAUGUAGUUAGGUGUUAUUGAUGUGGUAUUGUAGUCAAUGUCAUGUAAUGUAUUUAUCUAGUACUAUUAUUAUUAAUUUUGCUAGUAUAAAAGUUGUAACUAUAAUUUUAUUAAUAUAUUUGUUAAUAUUGU